GAUGAACGCUGGCGGCGUGCCUAAUACAUGCAAGUCGAACGCACUUCGGUUUUUGAUUGACGGUGCUUGCAUCAGAUUGACGAGACAUUGAAGUGAGUGGCGAACGGGUGAGUAACACGUGGGUAACCUGCCCUAAAGUGGGGGAUAACAUUUGGAAACAGAUGCUAAUACCGCAUAACAACGAAAACCACAUGGUUUUCGCUUGAAAGAUGGUUUCGGCUAUCACUUUAGGAUGGACCCGCGGUGCAUUAGCUAGUUGGUAAGGUAACGGCUUACCAAGGCAAUGAUGCAUAGCCGAGCUGAGAGGCUGAUCGGCCACAUUGGGACUGAGACACGGCCCAGACUCCUACGGGAGGCAGCAGUAGGGAAUCUUCCACAAUGGGCGCAAGCCUGAUGGAGCAACGCCG
rnacentral:rRNA from 1 species